UACAGAGACCUCAAGCGUUAUCCGGAAUCAUUGGGCGUAAAGCGUACCGAUAGGUGGUUAUACAAGUCAGAAGUGAAAUUCCAAAGCUUAACUUUGGGUCUGUCUUUUGAAACUGUAUAACUAGAAGGGCAAAGAGGAAGCUGGAACAAACGGUGUAGUAGUGAAAUGCGUUGAUAUCGUUUGGAACACCAAUAGCGUAGGCAGGCUUCUGGGUGUCACUUGACACUGCUAGGACGAAAGCGUGGGGAGCGAAUGGG
rnacentral:rRNA from 1 species